rnacentral:rRNA from 1 species
AACGAACGCUGGCGGCGUGGAUAAGACAUGCAAGUCGAACGGAGAGGGGGUAGUUUACUAAACUCUCUUAGUGGCGAACGGGUGAGUAACACGUGAGUUACCUGCCCUGAAGUGGGGGAUAGCCCCGGGAAACUGGGAUUAAUACCGCAUGAAAUCGAAAGAUUAAAGCAGCAAUGCGCUUCAGGAUGGGCUCGCGGCCUAUUAGUUAGUUGGUGAGGUAACGGCUCACCAAGGCGAUGACGGGUAGCCGGUCUGAGAGGAUGUCCGGCCACACUGGAACUGAGACACGGGCCAGACACCUACGGGUGGCAGCAGGCGAGAAUCAUUCACAAUGGGGGAAACCCUGAUGGUGCGACGCCGCGUGGGGGAGUGAAGGUCUUCGGAUUGUAAACCCCUGUCAAGUGGGAGCAAGCAGAAAUGUUGAUAGUACCACUAGAGGAAGAGACGGCUAACUCUGUGCCAGCAGCCGCCGUAAGAC